CCACACUGGGACUGAGACACGGCCCAGACUCCUACGGGAGGCAGCAGUAGGGAAUCUUCCGCAAUGGACGAAAGUCUGACGGAGCAACGCCGCGUGAGUGAUGAAGGUUUUCGGAUCGUAAAGCUCUGUUGUUAGGGAAGAACAAGUGCAAGAGUAACUGCUUGCACCUUGACGGUACCUAACCAGAAAGCCACGGCUAACUACGUGCCAGCAGCCGCGGUAAUAC
rnacentral:rRNA from 1 species